AUGGUGGUAACGGGUAACGGGGUGUUAGGGCACGACACCGGAGAGGGAGCCUGAGAAACGGCUACCACAUCCAAGGAUGGCAGCAGGCGCGCAAAUUACCCAAUCCCGACACGGGGAGGUAGUGACAAUAAAUAACAAUACGGGGUUCUUUCGGAUCUCGUAAUUGGAAUGAGUACAAUUUAAAUCUCUUAACGAGGAACAAUUGGAGGGCAAGUCUGGUGCCAGCAGCCGCGGUAAUUCCAGCUCCAAUAGCGUAUAUUAAAGUUGUUGCAGUUAAAAAGCUCGUAGUUGAAUUUCGGGAUCAAUAUGUUGGUCGUGCCUUGGUACGUACUGGCAUUAUUGGUUUCUACCUUCUGAAGAACCUCGAUGUCAUUAAUUUGGUGUCUUGGGGAAUCAGGACUGUUACUUUGAAAAAAUUAGAGUGUUUAAAGCAGGCAUUUUUGCUUGAAUACAUUAGCAUGGAAUAAUAAAAUAGGACGGCAUGGUUCUAUUUUGUUGGUUUCUAGGACCACCGUAAUGAUUAAUAGGGAUAGUUGGGGGCAUUAGUAUUCAAUUGUCAGAGGUGAAAUUCUUGGAUUUAUUGAAGACUAACUACUGCGAAAGCAUUUGCCAAGGAUGUUUUCAUUAAUCAAGAACGAAAGUUAGGGGAUCGAAGACGAUCAGAUACCGUCGUAGUCUUAACCAUAAACUAUGCCGA
rnacentral:rRNA from 1 species